rnacentral:lncRNA from 1 species
GUACAGUCCAGUCCAGAUUCCUUUCAGAGGUACGCUGUACAGUCCAGUCCAGAUUCCUUUCAGAGGUACGCUGUACAGUAGAGAUUCCUUUCAGAGGUACGCUGUACAGUCCAGUCCAGAUUCCUUUCAGAGGUACGCUGUACUGUCUAGUCCAGAUUCCUUUCAGAGGUACGCUGUCCAGUCCAGAUUCCUUUCAGAGGUACGCUGUCCAGUCCAGAUUCCUUUCAGAGGUACGCUGUCCAGUCCAGUCCAGAUUCCUUUCAGAGGUACGCUGUCCAGUCCAGUCCAGAUUCCUUUCAGAGGUACGCUGUACAGUCCAGUCCAGAUUCCUUUCAGAGGUACGCUGUACAGUACAGAUUCCACCUGCGAUCUAUAUAUGGCGUGUCUCCUAUCCUACUGUACCUCUGUAACUGACAUCGGUGUGCUGCUAACAGCUUUGCUUCCUCCACUGUCCCUGUCCCCUUAUUAGGCUCGAACCAGUGGUCUUCUGAUCACAAACACACGUGACCACCCUCUUGGACAACUUACCAACCAGUGGUGCUGUAGAAAAGGAUCCGAAUUGGAUAGCACCAUUGGUAUCGUUUCAAGCUAGCUGUGAAGUGAGCUAAU